rnacentral:rRNA from 1 species
UAAGGAAUUUUCCACAAUGGGCGCAAGCCUGAUGGAGCGACACCGCGUGCAGGAUGAAGGUCUUCGGAUCGUAAACUGCUUUUAUCUGGGACGAACAUUUAGACGGUACCAGGUGAAUAAGCAUCGGCUAACUCCGUGCCAGCAGCCGCGGUAAUACGGAGGAUGCAAGCGUUAUCCGGAUUUAUUGGGUUUAAAGGGUGAGUAGGUUGUGUACUAAGUCUAUGAUUAAAGCCCAGGGCCCAACCUUGGAUCUGUUGUAGAUACUGGUGCACUAGAGGGUAGACGGAGAAAGCGGAAUUCCCGGUGUAGGGGUAAUAUCCGUUGAUAUCGGGAGGAACACCAGUGGCGAAAGCGGCUUUCUAGACUACUCCUGACACUGAACCACGAAAGCUAGGGUAGCAAAACGG